rnacentral:rRNA from 1 species
GAUGAACGCUGGCGGCGUGCCUAAUACAUGCAAGUCGAGCGAACAGACGAGGAGCUUGCUCCUCUGACGUUAGCGGCGGACGGGUGAGUAACACGUGGAUAACCUACCUAUAAGACUGGGAUAACUUCGGGAAACCGGAGCUAAUACCGGAUAAUAUAUUGAACCGCAUGGUUCAAUAGUGAAAGACGGUUUUGCUGUCACUUAUAGAUGGAUCCGCGCCGCAUUAGCUAGUUGGUAAGGUAACGGCUUACCAAGGCAACGAUGCGUAGCCGACCUGAGAGGGUGAUCGGGCACAAUGGAACUGAGACACGGUCCCGACUCCUAAGGGAGGCAGCAGUAGGGAAUCUUCCGCAAUGGGCGAAAGCCUGACGGAGCAACGCCGCGUGAGUGAUGAAGGUCUUCGGAUCGUAAAACUCUGUUAUUAGGGAAGAACAAAUGUGUAAGUAACUAUGCACGUCUUGACGGUACCUAAUCAGAAAGCCACGGCUAACUACGUG